rnacentral:rRNA from 1 species
AGUCGAACGAGAAAGGGGAGCAAUCCCUGAGUACAGUGGCGUACGGGUGAGUAACACGUGGAUGAUCUAUCUCUUAGUGGGGAAUAACCCUGGGAAACCGGGGAUAAUACCGCAUAAGCUCGAGAGAGGAAAGCAGCAAUGCGCUGAGAGAGGAGUCCGCGGCCGAUUAGCUAGUUGGCAGGGUAAGAGCCUACCAAGGCAGAGAUCGGUAGCCGGCCUGAGAGGGCACACGGCCACACUGGCACUGAAACACGGGCCAGACUCCUACGGGAGGCAGCAGUGGGGAAUCUUGCACAAUGGGGGAAACCCUGAUGCAGCGACGCCGCGUGAGCGAUGAAGCCCUUCGGGGUGUAAAGCUCUUUCGGCAGGGAAGAUUAUGACGGUACCUGCAGAAGCAGCUGCGGCUAACUACGUGCCAGCAGCCGCGGUAAUACGUAGGCAGCGAGCGUUGUUCGGAGUUACUGGGCGUAAAGGGUGUGUAGGCGGUUGUUUAAGUUUGGUGUGAAAUCUCCCGGCUCAACUGGGAGGGUGCGCCGAAUACUGAAUGACUUGGAGUGCGGGAGAGGAGAGUGGAAUUCCUGGUGUAGCGGUGAAAUGCGUAGAUAUCAGGAGGAACACCGGUGGUGUAGACGGCUCUCUGGACCGUAACUGACGCUGAAACACGAAAGCGUGGGUAGCAAACAGGAUUAGAUACCCUGGUAGUCCACGCCCUAAACGAUGCAUAUUUGGUGUGGGCAGUUCAUUCUGUCCGUGCCGGAGCUAACGCGUUAAAUAUGCCGCCUGGGGAGUACAGUCGCAAGGCUGAAACUCAAGGAAUUGA